CACCGCGGUUAUACGGGGGGCCCAAGUUGAUAGAAGCCGGCGUAAAGGGUGGUUAAGAGCAAAUCUAAAAUUAGAGCCGAAUGCUUUCCUGGCUGUUAUACGCAUCCGAAAGUAAGAAGUCCAAUUACGAAAGUAGCUUUAUAUAAUCUGAACCCACGAAAGCUAANACA
rnacentral:rRNA from 1 species